CGAAAAAGAUGCAAAGGCUCUUCCACAUCUAGAGUCUUUACUAAACAAGUGUGCAGAGGCUAUAGCUCCACUUCUUGAUAAUGUAGCACCAGAUGUCAGAAACCUUUACUCUUCUGGAAUUUUGAACAGAAUAAAGCAUUUACCCAAUUAUAUGCCUCUCAUAAGGACUGCUUCUGUUUUAGGAAAAGAUAUCCCUCAGUUAUACGAACUGAUGACUGCUCCAGCUUCUAAAAUUCUUGAUCGCUGGUUGGAGUCUGAACCACUGAAAGCAACUUUAGCUACAGACAGUGUCAUAGGGGCCAUGAUCAGUCCCAA